GCGAGGUGCCCGUGGACCUCCGUCGGGCUGCGCCCUGGGUGCGCGAGCGUGCCGUGUGUUUGCUGUUCCGGCUUGUACGUGCGAGGGCUUAACGUUUGAUUUAACGCAUUUCCUUUAACGGCAGGCUGUAGUUGGGCUCUAGAUGGUAUUCCUACGGGGGCGCAAGAGCUGUGGAAUGGUUAAGCUGUUGCUGUGCCUCCAGGUGACUUGUUCAGUAACACUGUUUUUCCAGGUGCAGAUGGAUGAGUCGUGCAGGGCAACGGAGGAGAGCCCAGGGGAGCGCUGGAAGAAGGUGACAGCCCUGCGAUGCUGCGGUGCCUGCGAGGUGAUGCCGCCGUGCUCGUUGCUGCUUCCUGGUAAGGAAAGGCCUCCUCCGCUCCUGCUGCAGCGUGGUGGUGUGUCGGACACGAUUCCCUGUGUCGGGUGAGGCCUAGGGCUGCCGGCGAGGUGGAGGAUGGCCUAGAGUCUGGAGCUGCAGAAGAGGCAGGGCGGAGAGGAGGGGAAAGAAGCAUCUGAACGGCUAAAUUGUGCCAGCAGCGCUGAGAGCGAGAGUCGCGGUGGAGGACGGCCUAGAGUCUGGAGCUGCAGAAGAGGCAGGGCGGAGAGGAGGGGAAAGAAGCAUCUGAACGGCUAAAUUGUGCCAGCAGCGCUGAGAGCGAGAGUCGCGGUGCAGGUGGAUGAGUCGUGCAGGGCAACGGAGGAGAGCCCAGGGGAGCGCUGGAAGAAGGUGACAGCCCUGCGAUGCUGCGGUGCCUGCGAGGUGAUGCCGCCGUGCUCGUUGCUGCUUCCUGGUAAGGAAAGGCCUCCUCCGCUCCUGCUGCAGCGUGGUGGUGUGUCGGACACGAUUCCCUGUGUCGGGUGAGGCCUAGGGCUGCCGGCGAGAUGAGUGAGCCCCUUUGGUGGGUGCCGGGGUGUCUCCUUGUGUGCCUGCACUACUGGGGCUGGUGGGAUGGGAAGCUUCAAACGACCUGCCGAGGCAGGCUUCUGGUAUGCUAAAGGCGAGCGGGUGAGGGCAGCCCCAGGAGUUACCCGGGAGCUGAUAGAAGGGAAGAGGGAAAGGAGGAGGAGGAGGAUGACCUUUUCCCCCUGCCCAGGGUGCAGAAGAUAGCCGACUCCCCAGCUCACCAGAGCUCCCCCUCAGCCUCCCCUGGCCCCCCUUGCCCCGUGCUCCUGCCCCCAGCUCCGGCACGAGCGAGCUAGGCUACGUGCCUAGGAAGCCUCAUCUCGUAAGAGCUGUAAGACACCCUUGUAUU